rnacentral:lncRNA from 1 species
UGCUAAUCAUAGUGGUCCUAUUAGAUAGUUUAUAAACACGACAGUACUUUGCCAAAGGUGACUUCUAACAGAUAAUUCGUGUCAUUAUUCUCGUCAGAUGGUACGUUGUCAUCCACAGGAAGCGGUGCUUUUAUGUCUUUUCAUAUCAGAUGGGGGAGAGGGAAAACAUAAAUCAUUCAGAGAUAAAAAGUCUAACGAAAUACUUGAUACAUUAUGUAUG